CCUGUCCGCAGCCGCGCCUCUGCCGCGCCCCAAGGGGCGAGAAGGUGUUCCCAGCGGGACCUCCAACACCCGCGACUCCGGAGGAGCUACUAUGUGUGAUUGUAAUGGUGGUUUGUUACAGGGAAACUGAUAUCCAGCGAAGAGCAAGCAGCUGAAGCUCCCCAGACCCCAACUCCUCGGCUUCCUGGCGCCAGUAUCCACCACCCACCAGGGAGGCAGACAGCCGAGGACACCCACCUGCGGACGCCCCUCUCUGGCAUGUCUCCCUGCAAGGAGCCUCACAAGGCCAAACGCAGGCUGGUGGGAAGGCGCCCGCCAGCACCGCCACAGGCUCCCUCCCCACAAGCAGCUGCACUCCUCGCAACCUUUAAAACCCCUACCUCUCAUCUUUCUGGGAAAUGAAUUUGAGGGCUUACUCUCGUCUCCCAGCUGAGGUCACCCGAAAUAGACCCCCUGCCUUGCCAUCA